rnacentral:rRNA from 1 species
CCUACGGGAGGCAGCAGUGGGGAAUAUUGGACAAUGGGCGAAAGCCUGAUCCAGCAAUGCCGCGUGAGUGAUGAAGGCCUUAGGGUUGUAAAGCUCUUUUACCAGGGAUGAUAAUGACAGUACCUGGAGAAUAAGCUCCGGCUAACUCCGUGCCAGCAGCCGCGGUAAUACGGAGGGAGCUAGCGUUGUUCGGAAUUACUGGGCGUAAAGCGUACGUAGGCGGUUAUUCAAGUCAGAGGUGAAAGCCCGGGGCUCAACCCCGGAACUGCCUUUGAAACUAGAUAGCUAGAAUCUUGGAGAGGUUAGUGGAAUUCCGAGUGUAGAGGUGAAAUUCGUAGAUAUUCGGAAGAACACCAGUGGCGAAGGCGACUAACUGGACAAGUAUUGACGCUGAGGUACGAAAGCGUGGGGAGCAAACAGGAUUAGAUACCUGGUAGUCCACGCCGUAAACGAUGAUAACUAGCUGUUCGGGCACUUGGUGCCUGAGUGGCGCAGCUAACGCAUUAAGUUAUCCGCCUGGGGAUACGGUCGCAAGNUUAAAACUUAAAGGAAUUGACGG